ACUACUGUGUCAAUAAACUACUGCUCUACAGGGUCGUGGAUAAUGAGGGAACUCUACAGCUGAAGAGGAGCUUCCCAAUUCAACACGGAUCCCAGCCGCUGCACAGCAUCUUCUGUCCUCUCAUGUCCUUCAGACAGGGAGCCUGUGUCGUCACAGGCAGUGAGGAUGCGUGCGUCUACUUUUUCGAUGUUGAGCGCAACACUAAGGCCAUUGUUAACAAGCUGCAGGGCCACAGCGGGCCCGUCCUGGACGUGAGCUUCAACUGCGACGAAAGCCUGCUGGCCUCUUCUGACACCACCGGGAUGGUGAUCAUCUGGAGACGGGAGCAGAAGUAACCACAGCAACUCCAAGCUUUCGCUACCUUGGCAACAGCAUCUUCCUUGCAGGCUGGCUUAAAUCAUGUGCAAUGAAACCUACUGUAAACGUCAAGAUGACUGUUGUGUUUUGAGUGAGUCUGAACUGAAUCAUGUGGACCAUGAAAGAAACUUGUGUCUUAUCUUUGUUUUAGGGCUGAUGUUUCUGUUUCUGUUUUUGGGGGAUGUGGUGCUUGUUUGUGAAAUGUAUUAUUCUUUGUGGUCAGCUUAAGAGAGGAGAUGUUAAUAUAAUACUUUGUUCACCGUUGUGCAUUGUGUGUCUUAUAGAGUGAGGGUGUGAGAAUGAGAACGUUGAGUCUGCUUGUCACUAAACUUGUGUUCGCUUGCACAAUAACACUACUGUAUUUAUGCCUCGUUGAACUCAAUAAAUGUAAUCACACUAGCUGAAUUAAGCUACA